CUACGGGGGGCUGCAGUGGGGAAUAUUGCGCAAUGGGGGAAACCCUGACGCAGCCAUGCCGCGUGAGUGAAGAAGGCCCUCGGGUUGUAAAACUCUUUCAACGGUGAAGAUGAUGACUGUAGCCGUAGAAGAAGCUCCGGCUAACUUCGUGCCAGCAGCCGCGGUAAUACGAAGGGAGCUAGCGUUGUUCGGAAUUACUGGGCGUAAAGGGCGCGUAGGCGGACUACCCAGUCAGAGGUGAAAUCCCGGGGCUCAACCCCGGAACUGCCUUUGAUACUGGUGGUCUUGAGUCCGUGAGAGGGUGGUGGAAUACCCAGUGUAGAGGUGAAAUUCGUAGAUAUUGGGUGGAACACCAGUGGCGAAGGCGGCCACCUGGCACGGUACUGACGCUGAUGCGCGAAAGCGUGGGGAGCAAACAGGAUUAGAUACCCUGGUAGUC
rnacentral:rRNA from 1 species